rnacentral:rRNA from 1 species
GGCUCAGAUUGAACGCUGGCGGCAGGCCUAACACAUGCAAGUCGAACGGUAACAGGAAGCAGCUUGCUGCUUCGCUGACGAGUGGCGGACGGGUGAGUAAUGUCUGGGAAACUGCCUGAUGGAGGGGGGAUAACUACUGGAAACGGUAGCUAAUACCGCAUAACGUCGCAAGGACCAAAGAGGGGGACCUUCGGGCCUCUUGCCAUCAGAUGUGCCCAGAUGGGAUUAGCUAGUUGGUGGGGUAACGGCUCACCAAGGCGACGAUCCCUAGCUGGUCUGAGAGGAUGACCAGCCACACUGGAACUGAGACACGGUCCAGACUCCUACGGGAGGCAGCAGUGGGAAUAUUGCACAAUGGGCGCAAGCCUGAUGCAGCCAUGCCGCCGUGUAUGAAGAAGGCCUUCGGGUUGUAAAGUACUUUCAGCGGGGAGGUAAGGUGUUGUGGUUAAUAACCGCAGCAAUUGACGUUACCCGCAGAAGAAGCACCGGCUAACUCCGUGCCAGCCGCCGC